rnacentral:rRNA from 1 species
GUGGCGAGUGGCGACCUGGUGAGUGAUACAUCGGAACGUGCCUAGUCGUGGGCUGAUAACGUAGCGAAAGUUACGCUAAUACCGCAUACGAUCUAUGGAUGAAAGCGGGGGACCGUAAGGCCUCGCGCGAUUGGAGCGGCCGAUGUCAGAUUAGGUAGUUGGUGGGGUAAAGGCCCACCAAGCCGACGAUCUGUAGCUGGUCUGAGAGGACGACCAGCCACACUGGGACUGAGACACGGCCCAGACUCCUACGGGAGGCAGCAGUGGGGAAUUUUGGACAAUGGGCGCAAGCCUGAUCCAGCCAUUCCGCGUGCAGGACGAAGGCCUUCGGGUUGUAAACUGCUUUUGUACGGAACGAAAAGGUCCUGGUUAAUACCCGGGGCUCAUGACGGUACCGUAAGAAUAAGCACCGGCUAACUACGUGCCAGCAGCCGCGGUAAUACGUAGGGUGCAAGCGUUAAUCGGAAUUACUGGGCGUAAAGCGUGCGCAGGCGGUUAUGUAAGACAGAUGUGAAAUCCCCGGGCUCAACCUGGGAACUGCAUUUGUGACUGCAUAGCUAGAGUACGGUAGAGGGGGAUGGAAUUCCGCGUGUAGCAGUGAAAUGCGUAGAUAUGCGGAGGAACACCGAUGGCGAAGGCAAUCCCCUGGACCUGUACUGACGCUCAUGCACGAAAGCGUGNGGAGCAAACAGGAUUAGAUACCCUGGUAGUCCACGCCCUNAACGAUGUCAACUGGUUGUUGGGUCUUCACUGACUCAGUAACGAAGCUAACGCGUGAAGUUGACCGCCCUGGGGAGUACGGCCGCAAGGGUGAAACUCAAAGGAAUUGACGGGGACC